ACACUGGAUAAUAAACUAAAAGAUAAAACCGAGUAUACUAAUUUGAAAUAUGAUUAAAAGGGACCAAAAGCAAUUCAUUUUGACCGUUAUUUGUUAUGGAUUUACUUUUAACAUGACAAUUUGAUAAACUCGGGAGCUUCACUGUAGGUGUUUAAGUUUGUUUGUGUGCUAAAGUUAUUUUCGAAUCAGUUACAGUCCAAAUUAAAUCGAAAAGGAAAUGGGGAAAAGAUAAGCUUAGAAAAUCUAGUAAAUAUAUGGAGUGUUUUACGAGGUAUAG